CGUUGAAACUGGCGGUCUUGAAUACACACAAGGGAGAUGGAAUUCGUCGUGUAGCGGUGAAAUGCUUAGAUAUGACGAAGAACUCCGAUUGCGAAGGCAGUCUCCUGGGGUGCGAUUGACGCUGAGGCUCGAAAGUGCGGGUAUCAAACAGGAUUAGAUACCCUGGUAGUCCGCACAGUAAACGAUGAAUGCUGGUUCUUGGCGAUAUAUAGUCAGGAACUGAGGGAAACCAUUAAGCAUUCCACCUGGGGAGUACGCCGGCAACGGUGAAACUCAAAGGAAUUGACGGGGGCCCGCACAAGCGGAGGAACAUGUGGUUUAAUUCGAUGAUACGCGAGGAACCUUACCCGGGCUUGAAUUGCAGCUGCAUAGAGUAGAGAUACUCUUUCCCUUCGGGGCUGCUGUGAAGGUGCUGCAUGGUUGUCGUCAGCUCGUGCCGUGAGGUGUCGGCUUAAGUGCCAUAACGAGCGCAACCCUUGCUGUUAGUUGCUAUCAGGUAAUGCUGUGCACUCUAGCGGGACUGCCAUCGCAAGAUGUGAGGAAGGUGGGGAUGACGUCAAAUCAGCACGGCUCUUACGUCCGGGGCUACACACGUGUUACAAUGGGGGGGGUACAGAAAGUUGGUUAGUGGCGACACUGAUCUAAUCCUCAAAACCCCUCUCGGUUCGGACUGGAGUCUGCAACCCGACUCCACGAAGCUGGAUUCGCUAGUAAUCGCGCAUCAGCCAUGGGCGCGGUGAAUACGUUCCCGGGCCUUGUACACAC
rnacentral:rRNA from 1 species